UACGAAGGGGGCUAGCGUUGCUCGGAAUCACUGGGCGUAAAGGGUGCGUAGGCGGGUCUUUAAGUCAGGGGUGAAAUCCUGGAGCUCAACUUCAGAACUGCCUUUGAUACUGAAGAUCUUGAGUUCGGGAGAGGUGAGUGGAACUGCGAGUGUAGAGGUGAAAUUCGUAGAUAUUCGCAAGAACACCAGUGGCGAAGGCGGCUCACUGGCCCGGUACUGACGCUGAGGUGCGAAAGCGUGGGGAGCAAACAGG
rnacentral:rRNA from 1 species